GACGAACGCUAGCGGCAGGCCUAACACAUGCAAGCCGAGCGGUAUUUGUCCUUUUGAACAGUGAGAGCGGCGCACGGGUGCGGAACACGCGUGCAACCUGCCUUCAUCUGGGGGAUAGCCUUCCGAAAGGAAGAGUAAUACCCCCUAAAAUAUUGAUUGGCAUCAUUUGAUAUUGAAAACUCCGUUGGUUAGAGAUGGGCACGCGCAAGAUUAGUUAGUUGGUGAGGUAACGGCUCACCAAGUCAAUGAUCGUUAGGGGGCCUGAGGGGGUGAGCCCCCACAGGGGUACUGAGACACGGACCAGACUCCUACGGGCGGCAGCAGUGAGGAAUAUUGGACGGUGGAUUAGCGCCUGAUGGAGCCAUCCCGCGUGAAGGACGACGGCCCCAUGGGUGGUGAACUUCUUUUGUAAAGGGAUAAACCUACUCUCGUGAGAGUAGCUGAAGGUACUAUACGAAGAAGCACCGGCUAACUACGUG
rnacentral:rRNA from 1 species